CUUCCUCAUCCAUCCCAACGCCAUUUGCAUGCUUCACCAAAAAAUAUCAAUUUUUUUCAUUUUCUUUCCUUAUUUUCUUUUCCUUUCCUUUCUCUUGUUACUUUUUUCUUCUCCUAGUUCUUGGGCACUAAACCUGCAACUUGCAACCCCAAUUUCCAGCACAUCUAAACCCUAGGAGAGAAAAAGAAAAAUCACUCUUCCUUUCCUUUAUUUUCAAUUUCUACUCCACUUUCAACAACACUUAGAUUUUGGCUUCAAAUCUUCAUUUUAAAGCUAAAAGGUUGGGUUGAUCUUUAUACCUUCAAGCACCAAGUGUGGGAGUGCACGUGACGGUGUCAGUAAUGAUGUGGGCGGGAGUGCGUGUGAUGGUAUUGAAAUGUGCAUGCAGGGAGUGCACAUGAUGAUAUUGAAAUGUGCAUGUAGGGAGUGCACAUGAUGAUAUUGCCUUAUACGUGUAGGGAGUGCACAAAAGCUAAUGACCGGUGGUUGCAUUUUCAGGAUUGAAGGUAGUUGGAUCCUAGGUCGAGCUAAUUUGGCGUUGGCCCUAGCUAUAUCUAGCUGAUGAAGCACCGAUCUGGCCAAUAGAGCCACCACAGCGAAGGACCACAACAGCUGUGGAGGAGGACGGUUGUAAACUUGCUGAGAGAGAGGGGAAGACGGGUGAGAGAGAGAGAGGAAGACCCACAGCUGAGAUAGCGGCUGAAAGAGAGAGGAAGAAGAUUGAUUGAGAGAGGAGGGAAGACGGGGAAAGACCGGUUGAGAGAGGAAAUGAAGAUGGGGGAAGGUCGACCGAGAGAGAAGAGGAAGAUGGUCAAAGACCGGCUGAGAGAGGAGAUGCUUUCUUGGGGAAGGGCGACUGAAAGUGUUGAGGAAGACGAGGGAAGGAGAAAGAGAGAAAAAAAAUUAAGUUUUAUAUGGGACUGAGUCAUGAUUUUCUUAAUCAAUUGAGGGUAUUUUAGUCAAAUGAUAUUUCAAACCUAUUCCCCUGGUCACGAAAUAGAUAAUACCAAGAGGGGACGGGUAUUAGCCAUUCCCACCACAAAGACAAGUUUGAGGAAUUCUUAUUCCUCGCCUUGUUUGACAACCAAAUAAGGGAUGCGGAAUGGCAUGCUAUUCCCCCUACCAAACGCGCUAUAAAUAUUAGCACCCACACCUAGAGUCACUACGCUGACGAUCAGGGUCAUUGUAUGUGUAUAUGUGUACUUAAUGUGAAUUGCUAAGAUUCAUUUGUCAGACUAUUUAUGUAUAUUAUAAUCGAUGAUGCCAUUAUGA